rnacentral:rRNA from 1 species
AGAGUUUGAUCAUGGCUCAGAACGAACGCUGGCGGCAUGCCUAACACAUGCAAGUCGAACGGUGUUCCCGCUUCGGUGGGGGCAUAGUGGCGCACGGGUGAGUAACGCGUGGGAACCUGCCCUGUGGUACGGAACAACUCCGGGAAACUGGAGCUAAUACCGUAUGCGUCCUGCGGGACAAAGAUUUAUCGCCAUGGGAGGGGCCCGCGUAGGAUUAGCUUGUUGGCGGGGUAACGGCCCACCAAGGCUACGAUCCUUAGCUGGUCUGAGAGGAUGAUCAGCCACACUGGGACUGAGACACGGCCCAGACUCCUACGGGAGGCAGCAGUGGGGAAUAUUGGACAAUGGGCGCAAGCCUGAUCCAGCAAUGCCGCGUGAGUGAUGAAGGCCUUCGGGUUGUAAAGCUCUUUCGCACGCGACGAUGAUGACGGUAGCGUGAGAAGAAGCCCCGGCUAACUUCGUGCCAGCAGCCGCGGUAAUACGAAGGGGGCUAGCGUUGUUCGGAAUUACUGGGCGUAAAGGGCGCGUAGGCGGUGCAUCAAGUCAGGCGUGAAAGCCCCGGGCUCAACCUGGGAACCGCGCUUGAGACUGGUGGGCUAGAGUUCGGGAGAGGAUGGUGGAAUUCCCAGUGUAGAGGUGAAAUUCGUAGAUAUUGGGAAGAACACCGAUGGCGAAGGCAGCCAUCUGGACCGACACUGACGCUGAGGCGCGAAAGCGUGGGGAGCAAACAGGAUUAGAUACCCUAGUAGUCC